CGUAAUACAUGCAGUCGAACGAACGGAGGAAGAGCUUGCUCUUCCAAAGUUAGUGGCGGACGGGUGAGUAACACGUGGGCAACCUGCCUGUAAGUUGGGGAUAACUCCGGGAAACCGGGGCUAAUACCGAAUGAUAAAGUGUGGCGCAUGCCACGCUUUUGAAAGAUGGUUUCGGCUAUCGCUUACAGAUGGGCCCGCGGUGCAUUAGCUAGUUGGUAGGGUAAUGGCCUACCAAGGCAACGAUGCAUAGCCGACCUGAGAGGGUGAUCGGCCACACUGGGACUGAGACACGGCCCAGACUCCUACGGGAGGCAGCAGUAGGGAAUCUUCCGCAAUGGACGAAAGUCUGACGGAGCAACGCCGCGUGUAUGAAGAAGGUUUUCGGAUCGUAAAGUACUGUUGUUAGAGAAGAACAAGGAUAAGAGUAACUGCUUGUCCCUUGACGGUAUCUAACCAGAAAGCCACGGCUAACUACGUGCCAGCAGCCGCGGUAAUACGUAGGUGGCAAGCGUUGUCCGGAUUUAUUGGGCGUAAAGCGCGCGCAGGCGGUCUUUUAAGUCUGAUGUGAAAGCCCCCGGCUUAACCGGGGAGGGUCAUUGGAAACUGGAAGACUGGAGUGCAGAAGAGGAGAGUGGAAUUCCACGUGUAGCGGUGAAAUGCGUAGAUAUGUGGAGGAACACCAGUGGCGAAGGCGACUCUCUGGUCUGUAACUGACGCUGAGGCGCGAAAGCGUGGGGAGCAAACAGGAU
rnacentral:rRNA from 1 species